rnacentral:rRNA from 1 species
GAUGAACGCUAGCGGCAGGCUUAAUACAUGCAAGUCGUGGGGCAGCAGGAAGUAGCAAUACUUUGCUGGCGACCGGCAAACGGGUGCGUAACACGUACGCAACUUUCCCUUUACUGGAAGAUAGCCCACCGGAAGGUGGAUUAAUACUCCAUUUUAUAAUGAAACGGCAUCGUUUUAUUAUCAAAGCUCAGGCGGUACAGGAUGGGCGUGCGGCUGGUUAGAUAUUUGGAGGGGUAACGGCCCACCAAGUCUACGAUCAGUAGCUGAAUGUGAGAGCAUGAUCAGCCACACGGGCACUGAGACACGGGCCCGACUCCUACGGGAGGCAGCAGUAAGGAAUAUUGGUCAAUGGACGCAAGUCUGAACCAGCCAUGCCGCGUGAAGGAUGAAGGUCCUCUGGAUUGUAAACUUCUUUUAUAUGGGACGAAACACUUUCUUUCUAGAGAGCUUGACGGUACCAUAGGAAUAAGCACCGGCUAACUCCGUGCCAGCAGCCGCAGUAAGAC